rnacentral:rRNA from 1 species
AGUGAACGCUGGCGGUAGGCCUAACACAUGCAAGUCGAACGGCAGCACAGUAAGAGCUUGCUCUUACGGGUGGCGAGUGGCGGACGGGUGAGGAAUACAUCGGAAUCUACUUUUUCGUGGGGGAUAACGUAGGGAAACUUACGCUAAUACCGCAUACGACCUACGGGUGAAAGCAGGGGAUCUUCGGACCUUGCGCGAUUGAAUGAGCCGAUGUCGGAUUAGCUAGUUGGCGGGGUAAAGGCCCACCAAGGCGACGAUCCGUAGCUGGUCUGAGAGGAUGAUCGGCAACACGGGACCUAGGACACGUUCCAGACUCCAACGGGAGGCAGCAGUGGGGAAUAUUGGACAAGGGGCGCAAGCCUGAUCCAGCCAUACCGCGUAGGUGAAGAAGGCCUUCGGGUUGUAAAGCCCUUUUGUUGGGAAAGAAAAGCAGCAGGUUAAUACCCCGCUGUUCUGACGGUACCCAAAGAAUAAGCACCGGCUAACUUCGG